UCCCUGGUGGUCCAGUGGUGAAGACUCUGUACUUCCAAGACAGAAGGCACAAGUUUGAUUCCUGGCUGGGGUA
rnacentral:tRNA from 1 species